ensembl:snRNA U6 U6 spliceosomal RNA
AUGCUCUUAUAGAUAGCACAUUUACUAAAAUUGGAAUGACACAGAGAAUAUUAGCAUGGCCCCUGGGUAAAGAUGACAUGUUCCAUAUUAAAAAAAAAAAAAAAAAA